rnacentral:misc_RNA from 1 species
CGGGACUCUAGUUCGAUGUUUAAGAAGCCAAUCCUUCUUUAGGAUUCCGGCGACAGGUGGAGGCGGAACAGAAGCGUCCUUUGAAGGCUUAGCGAAAAUCGAGAUCUUGGAGAAAUCAGGCAAUGCGAGAGCAUUAAUAGGCGGCUGCUCAGAGUGAAGGUGAGUUGUGAUUGAAGCGUGAAGCUCUGGACAUCCUACAAGAGAUACUAAUGCCACCGGCGGAGUUCGGAGUUCUUCUGAAUACUCCUCCAUUGCUUUGAAUGCUCCGAUUCCGAUGCCCGGCGAAUUUGGAGUUGCUGAUAAUGGUGAAGAGGUCUGGAAAUUGAUUUCCGAGCAGAAUUGAAGAGAUCUUGGGAAGAGAUGGGUG